CUUAAGCAUAUCAAUAAGCGGGGGAAAAGAAACCAACCGGGAUUGCCUCAGUAACGGCGAGUGAAGCGGCAAGAGCUCAAAUUUGAAAUCUGGCCCCCCCGGGGUCCGAGUUGUAAUUUGCAGAGGAUGCUUCGGGUGCGGUCCCCGUCUAAGUGCCCUGGAACGGGCCGUCAUAGAGGGUGAGAAUCCCGUCUGGGAUGGGCGGCCGCGCCCGUGUGAAGCUCCUUCGACGAGUCGAGUUGUUUGGGAAUGCAGCUCUAAGCGGGUGGUAAAUUUCAUCUAAAGCUAAAUACUGGCCGGAGACCGAUAGCGCACAAGUAGAGUGAUCGAAAGAUGAAAAGCACUUUGAAAAGAGAGUCAAACAGCACGUGAAAUUGUUGAAAGGGAAGCGUUGUCCACCAGACUCGCCCGGGGGGGUUCAGCCGGCACGUGUGCCGGUGUACUCCUCUCCGGGCGGGCCAGCAUCGGUUUGGGCGGCUGGUGAAAGGCCCCGGGAAUGUACCACCCUCCGGGGUGCCUUAUAGCCCGGGGUGCCAUGCGGCCAGCCUGGACCGAGGCCCGCGCUUCGGCGAGGAUGCUGGCGUAAUGGUGGUCAACGGCCCGUCUUGAAACACGGACCAAGG
rnacentral:rRNA from 1 species